UCAUGCCUACGGGAGGCAGCAGUGAGGAAUAUUGGUCAAUGGGCGAGAGCCUGAACCAGCCAAGUCGCGUGAGGGAAGACGGUCCUAUGGAUUGUAAACCUCUUUUGCCGGGGAGCAAAAAGCGGUACGUGUACCGCAUCGAGAGUACCCGGAGAAAAAGCAUCGGCUAACUCCGUGCCAGCAGCCGCGGUAAUACGGAGGAUGCGAGCGUUAUCCGGAUUUAUUGGGUUUAAAGGGUGCGUAGGCGGUCAGGUAAGUUAGAGGUGAAAGCUCGAUGCUCAACAUCGAAACUGCCUCUGAUACUU
rnacentral:rRNA from 1 species